UAGUUACCUGAAGUGCAUGCCAGGCUGCAUGGAAAUUAUAAACAUGUUGAUUUGGAUCUAAACUCAAGAAUUUGUGAACUGGCCCUUCGUAAAGUCUCCACAAACUCUGCUUCUGAGGACUUCAGUAGACCAUCUACUGCUGUCUCUCCCCAUUUCUGCCCUGGUGUCCUUUGUGGAAGCUCUGGAGGUUGGCUACAGCAAACACAACCUAAUGCAUGCUGCCGAUGUGACACAAGCAGUCCAUGACCUCCUUUUGAAGACAGGUGUAGUGGUAGCAGGUACAGGAGUUGGCAUCGUUACUACGUACUGAAAUGGCAGCAGUUUUGUUUGGUAAGGAGAUGAUCAUUAUCCACAGCAGAGCCAUUUGUGCUGUAGAAACAAUGUGCUUUGCAGGGGCUGUGCUAAUGCAAGUAGACAGUUGGGAUUCCUU